AAUCCCACGAAUUUGUAUCUAAAACACUUAGUUACCCCCCACACUUAAAUCAAACAUUGUCCUCAAUGUUCAAGCAUAAAACCACACUAAACAAAAAGAAACAUAAAACAGCAACUAAAACAACUAAAAUAGGCAGAUUCAAAAAUAAACAACAAAGAGAAGGGUUUAGGAACGCAAAUCUGGAAUUGAAGUAAUUCCUUGGUCUUCCUUUGUUGAAUUGCAUGGGUUGCCUCC
rnacentral:lncRNA from 1 species